CCCUUAAAUGUCCUGGGCCGCACGCGCGCUACACUGACGGAGCCAGCGAGCGUGUCCUUCGCCGAAAGGUGCGGGUAAUCUUGGCAGCCUCCGUCGUGCUGGGGAUAGAUGGUUGCAAUUAUUGAUCUUGAACGAGGAAUUCCUAGUAAGCGCGAGUCACCAGCUCGCGUUGAUUACGUCCCUGCCCUUUGUACACACCGCCCGUCGCUACUACCGAUUGGAUGGCUUAAUGAGAGCUCUGGAUCUCUGCCGGCGCGGUCCUCACGGGUCGCGUUGGAUGGGGAGAAGUUGCUCAAAUUGAGUCUUCUAGAGGAAGUAAAAGUCGUAACA
rnacentral:rRNA from 1 species